rnacentral:rRNA from 1 species
GAUGAACGCUGGCGGCGUGCUUAACACAUGCAAUCGCACGAAGUGUUUAUUCAUAGUUCUUCGGGAUAGAGACUAAAUUACUUAGUGGCGGACGGGUGAGUAACGCGUGGGUAACCUGCCUCACACAGGGGGAUAACAGUUGGACACGACUGCUAAUACCGCAUAAGACCACAGCACCGAAUGGUGCAGGGGUAAAAGAUUUAUCGGUGUGAGAUGGACCUGCGUCUGAUUAGAUAGUUGGUGGGGUAGAAGCCUACCAAGGCAACGAUCAGUAGCCGACCGGGGAGGGGGAGCGGCCACGGUGGGGCUGAGGCACGGCCCAGACUCGGACGGGAGGGAGGAGUGGGGAAUAUUGGGCAAGGGGGGAGGCCCUGAUCCAGCAGCGCGGGGUGAGUGAGGAAGUAGGUCGGUAUGUGAAGCUCUAUCAGCAGGGGAGAAAAUGACGGUACCUGACGAAGAAGCCCCGGCUAACUACGUG